UUUUAUUCUUUUUAGAUCCCAGUCUUGUGGAUGUACACAAUGUUGAGAUUCACCAUGCUGCAUUCAUAUAUGUACAUAGGAAAGUUAUGUCCCAAUUCAUUCCAUUGUCUCUCCUACCCCUGUCCCACUCCAUUCCCACUCAUUCCCCUUUCUUGAAACCACUGAAUUUCUAUUCUUCCCUUCCUCCCCUUAAAGUAUAUUGACACUCACAUAUCAGAGAGAUCAUUCACCCUUUGUUUUUAGGGAUUGGUUUAUUUCACUUAGCAUGAUAGUCUCCAGAUCCUUUUAUUUACUGGCAAAUGUUAUAAAGCCAUUCUUCUUUAUGGCUGAGUAGCAUUCCAUUGUGUACAUAUACCACAUUUUCUUUACCCAUUCACCUGUUGAGGGGGGCACCUAGGUUGGUUCCAUAGCUUAGCUAUUGUGAAUUGAGCUGCUAUAAACAUUGAUGUUCAUGUGUCACUGUAGCAUGCUGAUUUUAAGUCCUUUGGAUAUGUACUGAGGAGUGAUAUAACUAGUCAAAUGGUGGUUCCAUUCCUAGUUUUUUGAGAAAUCUCCAUACUAAUUUCCAGAGUGGUUGCACCAAUUUGCAGUCCCACCAGCAAUGUAUGAGUGUACCCUUUUUCCUACAUCCUAGCAAACAUUUCUUGUUUGUAUUCUUGUUGAUUGCCAUUAUUACUGGAAUGAGGUGAAAUCUCAGUGUAGUUUUAAUUUGCAUUUCUCUAAUUGUUACAGAUGUUAUACUACAAUUAUAGUAACAAAAGUAGCAUGUAUUCUCAAUAAAGCAGACGUGAAGCCCAAUGGAACAGAAUGGAAGACAGAGACAAACACACAUAAAUAAAGUUAUCUCUCACUAGACAAAGGUGCCAAAAACAUACACUGGAGAAAAAAUAGACUCUUCAACAAAUGGUGCUGGGAAAACUUGAAAUCCAUAUUUAGUAGAAUGAAAUUUAACCCGUCUAUUAUCCUGCACAAAAUUCAACCCAAUGUGCAUCAAAGACCUAUAAAUUAGACCAGAAACCUUGUACCUAGUAGAAGAAAAUGUAGGCCCAACACUCCAACAUAUCAGCUCAGGAUCUGGCUUCCUCAACAAGAGUCCUAAGGUACAAUAAGUAAAAUUUAAAAAUCAGUGAAACAGUCAAGAGCAUGAAGUGAGAGCCUACAGAAUGAGAGAAAAUCUUUGCCACCUGCACCACAGAUAAGGCAUUAGUUUCCAGAAUAUACAAACAAUAAAGCUUAACACCAAAAAAAACCCAAAUAACCCAAUCAACAAAUGGGCAAAG
rnacentral:lncRNA from 1 species